UACAGAGGGGGCAAGCGUUGUUCGGAAUUACUGGGCGUAAAGAGCUCGUAGGUGGUUUGUCGCGUUGUUCGUGAAAACUCACAGCUUAACUGUGGGCGUGCGGGCGAUACGGGCAGACUGGAGUACUGCAGGGGAGACUGGAAUUCCUGGUGUAGCGGUGGAAUGCGCAGAUAUCAGGAGGAACACCGGUGGCGAAGGCGGGUCUCUGGGCCGAUACUGACGCUGAGGAGCGAAAGCAUGGGUAGCGAACAGG
rnacentral:rRNA from 1 species